GCAUUCUUAGUUCAGUUGGUAGAACGUAGGUUUCCAAAACCUAAUGUCGCGGGUUCAACUCCUGCAGGAUGCG
rnacentral:tRNA from 1 species